UACAGAGAGACGUCGGCCAAAAAUCCAGAGGAUCAGCUGAUGGUUUGCAUGCGUUUGUUUUGUACGUAUGUCCAUAAGAAGGCUCUGACAUAGGGUAUUUUACAAUUAAGAUUAUUCCGUCUAAUUUUCAAUCCUUCAGUCUAUCAAUGUUUUCAAUUUGCAAUCAAGCAUUUUCAACUAGUUUGAUAACUGUGAUAUUUAUCUUUGUUUUACAAUAAUGGAGCAUAACGUGGCUCGGAGAAUGACUAAGUGUUGUGUUUGGAACUCUGUGAUUUCUGGAUAACUGUGAAGUUUAUUUGAGUUUUACAACAACUGAAUAUAAGGUAGUCAGAUACCAACCGCUUCCAGUAUUGUGUUGUGUUCGUGAAAAUCAAAAUGGUCGACGAUAUCGAUUUCCUGAGAAUCACUAAAAGCUUGACCCAAAAUAAUUUUGCAUCAUUUCACUCCUUUGGCCUUGGAUAUGGCCUUUACAGAAAAUAUACAAUAAAAGAACAGAAAUGGCUGCAGUUCAAGGCUGGACCUUAAGACAGAAGGAGUUUUAGUGAGUAAACAGCUUGGUUGGAGCCCCACAGAACCCAGCGCGCCAGAAUACCAGCUCUGUAAGAGAGCAUUUCCUAAACUUCAUCGAUAACAAAAAAACGAAGACAAAAACAAUCAUCAGGUACCAACUGAACGUAAAUAGCAGUAGUGGAAAUUAGAGUUUAGUUUUGCCUGCAGCCACUGAGAAUAAGCGACAAAUAGCAUUCUGCAGAUACAUAUUGCAGCUUCCAAUCUAUAACCUCUGUGAUCCAGAGAUGCCAGAUCUACCGAUUUGUCAAGGAACCUACCGAUCUACCGAUACCAUGCAGAUUUCUACCGAAAAGUAACAAAUAAAAUUUAAAAAAUUAUCCGUGGAUUACUUAAAAUAAUAUAACAUAUUUCCAUUCAUGAUUAAAGUACGUUGGUAAUA